rnacentral:tRNA from 1 species
UAAUAUGNGUUCAGUCGGUAGAACGGCGGACUGUUAAUCCGUAUGUCACUGGUUCGAGUCCAGUCAGAGGAGCCA